AUAUUUACCUGACAGGGGAGAUGCCAUGAUCACAAGGAGGUUUUCCCAGGGUGGAUGCUUAACCAUUACACUCCGGUUGUGCUGACCCCUGCGAUUUCCAGCACAGUCUGUGGUGGUGGGGCACUGGUUCGCCACCGCCCCC
rnacentral:snRNA from 1 species